rnacentral:rRNA from 1 species
UACGUAGGGGGCAAGCGUUGUCCGGAUUUAUUGGGCGUAAAGAGCGUGUAGGCGGCUAUACAGGUCCGCUGUGAAAACUCGAGGCUCAACCUCGAGACGUCGGUGGAAACCGUAUGGCUAGAGUCCGGAAGAGGAGAGUGGAAUUCCUGGUGUAGCGGUGAAAUGCGCAGAUAUCAGGAAGAACACCAAUGGCGAAGGCAGCUCUCUGGGACGGUACUGACGCUGAGACGCGAAAGCGUGGGGAGCGAACAGG